CCUUGUUGGUUUGGGAAACAUGUCAUCUGAUUUGCAUGCCAAGUUUGAGGUCGAUUUCUCUUUUGAAAAAUUAUGUUAAAAUAUGGAAAACGUAGCUUUAUCUCAUAUCUUUUCAGGAAUGUAUCAUAACCACUAGGAAAAAUUGGCAAAGCCUUCAACUCAUCAUUUUCCCAUAGCUGCGCAGUUCUGAAGGGAAAACAACUUCUGCAAGAUUAACUUUGAAAACUGGAAUGUUUGGCUUUAGGGAAAAUUAUGAAAUUUUGACACAACAAUAAUCAGCCUCUUAGCUUCCUACUCCAAUUGGCCUUGCAUCAAAACUCAUCUUGAAAGUCGAAUUAUCACAAAAAACGUCCUACUUGCGCAGAUUGGCCAAAACUUGCCAUUUUUUGCUUGGAAUUUGCUUCCUUCUUUUGGUUGGAAUGUGCUUCUUUGUUUUGAUUUUCCUUUUGCUAUUUGGCUAUGUCUUUCCCUUAUAUCAUUAGGAAGCAAUUGAGCCCUAUUUAUAAGACAAUUGGGUGUGUAUUUUUUUCACAAUUCACAUCCUUACCGUGCGCUUGCUGCUGUG
rnacentral:lncRNA from 1 species